AUUUAACUGAAGAGUCCGAAACAGGACAAAACGUGCAUUCUGAAU
rfam:Schistosoma curassoni strain Dakar, Senegal genome assembly, scaffold: SCTD_scaffold0003734